rnacentral:lncRNA from 1 species
ACACAAUGGGUGCACAAGAACAGGAACAUGAGCCAAGUCUUGAUAAGGGAGACAAAACGGUUGCUCGAGAGCUGAAGGAUUAUUUGUUAGAGAUUCAAAGACACAUCGACCCUUCCAUUAGGCGAGGGGAAGAACCUAACACUGCAAUUAAUCACUCAGUAGAUGUCACUCCUCAGCCUACUCGGGUGAAUAGGACUGGAACACGCGGUCAAGACCAUAAUGAAGCAACGGUAAGUGUUAGAGAAUUUUACCUUAAGAUGCUUUCUAAAAGUCUUGUUCUUUAGGUCAUGAAUUUUUGGUUUAAUUGUGAAGCAGCAGGAUAAUGUAAAUGAGAAAGGUUCAGAUAGUCAGGGAACAUGGUCUAGCAGAAUUCGGCCUCGUCUACCAACCCCAGUUCCUCUGAAUGUAUCUCCGUUGAAGAUGGGCGGAUUGGCGAAACCCCAUGUCAGGAGGCCAAAGAAAUUCUGGACGCCAGAAGAAGUGGAAGCUCUGAGGGAAGGAGUAAAAGAGUAUGCAAACACUCUUUGCCUAGCCCCUUACUCUAUUAUCAAUAUUCACUAGUGAUACAUCUAGGGCCUCAUUAAGAUUAUAGCACUGUCAUUUUGUUGUUGUUGUUGUUGUGCAGGUAUGGUAAAUCAUGGAAAGAUAUAAAGAAUGGAAACCCUGCACUAUUCGCGGAGAGGACAGAGGUGAGCAUUUCCUUUCAAAAUUCAUACUCACCAUUUACUUGGACAAGAUAUAUACGAAGUGUGAGUGAUAUCAAUGUUGUAACUUGAUAGGUGGAUUUGAAGGAUAAAUGGAGGAACUUAGUCGGUGGGUAGAGGUAACAUCUUUUGUGAAUCUUGUGCUAUAGGCUUUUAAAAUGCUGUAGAGUUAUUUACUUUUGUGACAUAUCAACUGUGGAGAACAUGGUGGAGAUAGGGCCAUUUCACAUGUUGUGUAGUGAAUGAUAAUCAUGAAUGAGCAGAAAUAUGCAGAAUAUAAUGAUAUGCUUGUGGGAAAAAUUCUGGCUGCGACCUCUGUUGUCAGUCAGUGUCAAACUUAUACGGCUUUUCUUGUUUCGGAUAUAUUCCAUCCUUAUCUUCAAUUCCUACCAUUCUUCUCUCUCUCUCCUUUUCCACGUGUCAACUAACAUCUAAACCAGAACAAAACACUAGUCAAAAUAUGCAUAUAAUCAUUUUGAUCUAUGAUAUAGCCUGUUAACAUUGAGACCCUCCUUAGAUAUUGCCUGUUAACAUUUUAGACCCUCCCUAGAUAAAAAGCUAAGUAAGAUGAUGUGAGCUCUCAUGCACAUACUUAAUUGGUUAAUGCAUAUUUGUUAUGUGUUGUUAGUUUAUUACAGAACCGUGAACUCCUUGAGGGCUGCAGGAACUGGCUGCCAACAAAAAAAAAACAAUUGUUCAGCGGUGAUGUCACUAUCACUCUAUUCUCUACAACUUCUUGUCAUGUUCCCCACUUCUGUUCUGACUUUUCCCCUUUUCUUUGUCAUUUUAUUUUUGUUAACCUCAAUCUAUUUUGGAUUGCUUGUGUUCACCAAACUAAUAAUUGGUUCAAUUGAAAAAUGUGCAGUUUCCUCAAGAAACAAAACUCUUUCCUCUAUAUCGCAUUUCCUAGUAUCCACACUUUCUUAACUCUUAUCCUCUUUGCAAUUGUGUUUGUGGUUCACAAAAUAAACCAGGGCAUCUUUUUUUAUCUUUUGAGCAUAUUUUGCUAUGUUUUUCAAUGUGGUACACGUUUGAUGAUUUUUUUUCAAUGCUGUGGCUUGAGUAUUUUUAUUGGCAAGUAAGUUUUGUCAAACUUUGGAUUUUUUGAAUUACUACAAUGCGGUCAAUAAAAAUAAAUAUAUGGUUUUCUAUAAUAUAUGUGAUGCAAGCAAGGUUAAGGCAAUUGUCUUUAUUCAUUUUAUCCCAACUGGGUGAUUGACGCCAACGACUGUUCAACAUAUUUUCUGCUGACGCUUCUUUAAUGAAGUAGCAAGAAGAAAGUAAAUAGGACGACUUUUGGCCACCAGAAGUAUCUCUGUUUUAAGAACGAAAGUCUGUGUCCUCUUAAACAUUUCUGGGAUCAUCAAUUGGUUUUUGGUCAACCAUGAAUAUGAAUCAAGUUGCAGAGUAUGUCGAAACUGAUCCAACUGGUCGCUAUGGACGUGUAAGUAAGGAGACAGACUCUAUGUUCAUGGAUCAAAACCUUUUUGUAACACUUGGUUUUAUGGUGGCACAGUUUGCAGAAAUUCUUGGAAGGGGAGCGAUGAAGACAGUGUACAAAGCAAUCGAUGAGAAGCUGGGAAUAGAAGUAGCAUGGAGCCAGGUGAAGCUUAAAGAGGUUCUGCGUUCAUCUGUUGAUCUACAGAGGCUUUACUCCGAGGUUCAUCUCCUCAGCACUCUCAACCACAAAUCUAUCAUUCGUUUCUACACUUCCUGGAUUGAUGUUCAUAACCAUACUCUCAACUUCAUCACCGAGUUGUUCACUUCUGGGACCCUCCGACAGUAAAUUGCUUAAACCUCUUCUUCUGACAAGAUUAUUCAGCUUUUUAUAAUGACCCUGUCCCGUUCAUAUGCAGAUACAAAAAUAAGUACUUGCGGAUAGAUAUCCGAGCAAUCAAGUCCUGGGCUCGGCAAAUCUUGGAAGGGCUUGUUUAUCUCCACGGACACGACCCUCCUGUUAUCCAUAGAGACCUCAAGUGUGAUAAUAUCUUUGUUAAUGGCCAUCUUGGACAAGUCAAAAUUGGUGAUCUUGGUCUUGCAAGAAUGCUGCGGGACUGCCAUUCUGCACAUAGUGUCAUCGGUACCUUGUAAAAAUCCUUUGUUCUCACUUCUUCUCCACAUUAUAAGACCUCUUCGUGCUUCUUUUGCGUAGGCACUCCGGAGUUCAUGGCUCCAGAAUUAUAUGAGGAGAACUAUAAUGAGCUCAUUGACGUUUAUUCCUUUGGUAUGUGCUUUUUGGAGAUGAUCACUUCUGAGUUCCCGUAUAGUGAGUGCAACAAUCCGGCGCAAAUUUACAAGAAAGUUGUCGCGGUAUGUCUUUCGAUCUGUGAGCAUAUAAAUGCAGCUAUCAGUUGAACCAGGCAUGAGCCUUCUAAUGUUUUCUUCCAGGGAAAGCUACCAGGAGCCUUUUACAGAGUUGGAGACAUCGAGGCACAGAGGUUCAUCGGGAAAUGCCUCGUGUCUGCCUCAAAGAGAGUAUCAGCAAAAGAACUAUUGCAAGAUCCAUUUCUUGCCUCUGAUGAGUCCUGGAUGGUGUACGCGAGUGGUGCUGGGAAUCCAAAGCCCUUCUUGAACGAGAAUGAAAUGGACACACUGAAGUUGGAAGAUGAUGAGUUAAAGACACAGAUGUCCAUCGCUGGGAAGCUUGGCGCUGAAGAUAACAAAAUCGAUCUGGAAGUACAAAUCGCAUAUGAUAAUGGUAAAAGGGAUUAAUUUGAUGAGCUGGUCAUUUUGUUAUUCGGUCGCAUAAUUGUUUCUUUCUUUCCAGGUCUGGCAAAUAAUGUGUUCUUUCCCUUUGACAUCAUGAAUGAUACUUCCAUUGAUGUUGCAAAGGAGAUGGUAAAAGAACUCGAGAUUAUAGAUUGGGAGCCAGUCGAGAUUGCUAAAAUGAUUGAUGGAGCGAUUUCUUCUUUGGUGCCUGGUUGGAAGUAUGAGGAAGAUGAUGAAACCCCUCAUGAUCAUCAUCGUAAUCGUACCGAUCCUUUCCACUCUUCUUCCUCGCACUCGUCAUCUUCCCAAGCUUCACUCUCUAACUAUAUGGCACGAGGCCUUCAAGAUUGGGGACAAGGUAUGGAAAGUAAUACCAGUCUCAACGUACAGUGUGUGACAGAUGUUUAUAUAAAAGUUUUUGAGAUAAAAAUUAAAACUGCAGAUGAUUUACACGAUGAGACGUAUUCUCAGAGUUCUUCCCAUUCAGGGUCUUACUCCAACCUCAACUACAUAGCUGUUGAUGAGCACAGCUCCCAAUCUCCUGCUAUGAGCAGAACUCACAACUUGACGAGGUUUUGCCCCGAAGAAAGCUCUCAUCUGCAGUCAGGACAAGCCAACGCGUAUGCAGCUUCCAGUUCAAUUAACAGAAGCUUGGCUUCAGACAACCGCACACUUACAAGGAACCGAUCACUUGUAGACGUGCAGAGACAGUUACUGCACCGGUCGCCAGGGGAAGAGGCUAGAAAAAGAAGAUUGUUCAAAACUGUUGGAGACGUAGAAACAGUUGGGUUUCAGUCGCCUUAUGCGGUUUCACGUAAGCCACCAAGCUCAAGACGCUAGCUUCUCCAGUAUUUUAAUUACUGUAAAUUUAUUCAUGUAAUAUAUAAGUAUACUGUGAGAAAGAAGUUUGCUGGUUCAAAAAUGUAAAAAGUUCAUUGUGUUUAAUAAAGUUGUGCAAAGGCUGCGUCUGUGUUACAGAGAAAGAGUCCUCAGGUGAAAUGAGUAAAACGUAACCAUCUAUACCAGAACAAAACAGUAGUCAAAUAUGCAUAACAUAACCAUUUUGAUCUAUGAUAUAGCCUGUAAGAUGAUGAGAGCUCUCAUGCACAUAUAUGUACUGGUUAAUGCCAUAUUUGUUAUGUUAUUAAAUUAUUAGAUAUAUCACAAAAACAUAUAUGUUAUGUGUUAAUGAAAAUUUAGCUGACAUUGAAGGAUAGUUGAAAGUUUCUAGGUACGGUCUUGUCAGUGCAAGUGAUAGAUGAGCUUCAAGGUAGAUGCAUUGUAAUUCAAGCCACAGAGAAACGCCAUGUAGUCUGAUUUGCCUAAUUAAUAGACAAGUCCUGGAUUUAAAGCUGCUAUUGGGUCGACAUGUCCAACUCCAUAAGAAAAUUCGGUCGAUGCAAACCCAGACUCAGUAGCAUUCAUCGGCCAAGCUGCAAAGUGUAGUUAAAAGACUGAAUAAGAGCAGAGUUAUCAGCAUAAAUGUUACUUGCGGGACAAGAAAGUAAAAGAUGGAUAUGACUUUUGUUUACCGGUUGAUACCAUUCAGGAUGAAAUGUCUUGGGGUAAGCAGCCACGCCUGCAACGUGUGGACAAGCCAUUGAUGUUUCUGAGGUAACAGAGUAGUUCACACGUCAUUUGUCCCACUUUUGUGAAGAUUGGGAAACCAAAGGUAAACAAGCAGCGAGGAUUUCCACUCUUGGGGCUGUUAUAUCCGGCUGCAAUUCAAUCAACCAUUGUCUCUCAAACCGGGAAACAAAAGGGAACUAACCAAUUGAAAAAUUGUAAUUAGCCAAACUUGUAUGUCAAGGAUCUAAUAAAAGCCCAAAACUACAAAAGCUCAAAAACUUAUUUCUAUAUAUAUAUAACUCAGUCUAGGGUUUUCGUCCUCCAAUAUUUCUAUCGAAAACUUAGCAGUCGCUCUUCCCUUCUCAUCUUAUAUUCUCCAUGGGCGAGAGGCUUUUGAAAUGCUCCACAUCCACCGAUGUAAUCCUUUUCUCCUAAUGACCUUCUUCCUUACUCAGUCUUUUACUCAGACUGAACUUUAAUAUUGUUUCGGAUUUUUUUAUCUAGGUUGAAGCUACCACAGAGCCGUCGCAGAAUGGUAAGAUCUUGAUUGCUAUACUCUCUUUUUCUUUUUUGUUCUUGGUUUCGUUUUAUGCAUUCUAUAAUUGAAGAAAACCGGUAUAUAUUGUCUUGCAAUCUUGAUUAUAUGAAUUAUAAGUCUGAUUAUAGGUUGUUUGAUAUUUGUAUAUAUGUCUUAUUUAGAAGAACACCUGCUUAUAUGGAUUUGUGUUAUUUAUUUUUAUUUCUGAGAAAGCUCCAGAUGAUUUGGAGCAGCAAGUAUUUCCGAAGAAGCAAAAAAAGGUAAUAUUAUCUUAAGCUUUUGUACCUUUUUAUUGAAUUCAGUAGUACUUUUAAGAGCUUUGUAUUUUCUUAUAAACCAGAAAAUAUUAACCUACUAUUGAAAAUGUCUUUGUUUUUGAUCCAAAAUAAAAAAGGUGGAAGAAUAUAAAUGCAUUUUCGAAAAUAAAUCUGCAUAUGGACACAGUCACAGAAGCAUUCUCGUUCAGGGAUUAGAUUGUUCCCUUCCUGUGGCUGAUAUCAGGAGCGCAUUGAGAAAACACUUCGGUUCAUGUGGACAUAUCUUAAGUGUUUUUGUUCCGACAGAGUGUAAAACCGGUUCUCUCAUCGGGUUUGUGACUUGUUCCUCCAAUUUAAUUUGACAACUUGAAGUUAAAUGCAAUCUAAAUUUUUUACUUUUGUUUUUGUUUUCAGGUGCGCUCUCAUUAAAUACUAUAAUCCAAAUGAUGAAAAGAAGGCAUUAGCACUCGAUGGUAGUUUCUUGGGAGGUAGGCAGCUUGGGGUUGUGAAGAAUAAUACUGGAAGCAGUUCUGAUUUCUUUCCUAACUUUAAAGGGUGUGAACGUUGUGUCCUUACUCAAAGGAAGUACCUCCAUGACCAAUUCAUUGCAACUCGUGGUGGUCGUAUGAUGGCCAAGUACGUUUAUUUGUUCUUGAUUAUUGAACCCUAGUUAAAGAAGGUAACUGGUCAUUAUAUAGUUGUUAUUUUUUGCUCCUGAUAUUGCAGGCCACCUAAUUGGAUCCUUGCUAAAUGGGGCCUCGCUUUAACGGAAGAAGUUGAAGCAGAAAAACAGAGCUAAGAAUGGUCGUUUUACUGUUGUUUAUCGACAAGCUACUACUUGUUUAUCUUCUUAUGUUUUAUAAGAAAACUUGUAUUAUGUGGACUCUUGCUGCUAUUUAGUUUCAUAAUUUAUGCCUAAAUCAAAUGUUGAACUUAUAUUAUGAAAUUACAUUUUUAAGUUGAAAAUUCAAUUACUUAUAAUCGACUUAAUGAGAACUUUGACCUAAUUUGCUGAUUGGGCGGUUGCGAUCUAUAGUUGUUUGGUAGGUAUCUGUUAUGUCUUCAUUCCUACCUGCAGGUAGGAUACUUUUGUAUCUACCCAAGUUCUCCAUUGAUUUCUUUUUGCCAAGAAUUGUUGCGCUUCUCCCUCGAGUCAACAAAUGUAAACCACGUUGUUUAUUCUCUUCUUACAUUGGUCGCACUUGUUUGUUAAUGACACGUGUUUGUCACUCUUCCGACAUUCGAACCGUUAAUCAUCUUUGUCUUCCAGGCCCAACUAACUGUCCAUUUUCAGAAUAUAUCUGAAACCGUUCAGUGAUUGAGAGUUUUUCCUUAUCUCCGGCGACAUUGCAUCACCGUAACUCAUGACUUGUUGAAGUGGGAGACUGAUUUUAAGAAGGCCCUUGAGGAACCUGAGCUCUAUCAGCGAAUUCGUGAGACUAAUAUCAGGUACACUGCCAUUUCCUUUCUCACUCAGCUUCUCAAAGAACAGUGGGCAUUACUUGGGAGUUUCUCUCUUGAAUCAGUUUCUCAAAGAAGGUUUCUUUUAGGCAAGGCUGUGAACGUAGAGGGUGAUGUUGUUGAAAACAGAGGGGGCUGGGGGGGACGAGUCGCGUGGUGAAAGGGAGGACGUUAAUGGGAUUGAUAGAGAGAACGCUACUGAUGGUGAUGGAAUGGAAUGUCUGGAGAAUGAUGGGAUUGAUAAUGUGAAUGCAGCAGAGGAGGAGCACACAAUGAGUGCACAAGAACAGGAACAUGAGCAAAGUCUUGAUAAGGGAGACAAAAUGGUUGCUCGAGAGCUGGAGGAUUAUUUGUUAGAGAUUCAAAGACACAUCGACCCUUCCAUUAGGCGAGGGGAAGAACCUAACACUGCAAUUAAUCACUCAGUAGAUGUCACUCCUCAGCCUACUCGGGUGAAUAGGACUGGAACACGCGGUCAAGACCAUAAUGAAGCAACAGUAAGUGUUAGAGAAUUUUACCUUAAGAUACUUUCUAAAAGUAUUGUUCUUUAGUUCAUGAAGGUUUGGUUUAAUUGUGAACCAACAGGAUAAUGUAAAUGAGAAAGGUUCUGAUAGUCAGAGAACGUGGUCUGGCAGAGUUCGGCCUCGUCUACCAACCCCUGUAACUCUGAAUGUAUCUCCAUUGAAGAAGGACGGAUUGGCAAAACCCCAUGUCAGAAGGCCAAAGAAAUUCUGGACGCCUGAAGAAGUGGAAGCUCUGAGGGAAGGAGUAAAAAGAGUAUGCAAACACUCUUUGCCUAGUCCAGUACUCUAUUAUCAAUAUUCAUUAGUGAUAUAUCUAGGACCUCAUUAAGAUUAUAGCACUGUCGUUUUGUUGUUGAUGUUGUUGUGCAGGUAUGGUAAAUCAUGGAAAGAUAUAAAGAAUGGAAACCCUGCAGUAUUCGCGGAGAAGACAGAGGUGAGCAUUUCCUUUCAAGAUUCAUACUCACCAUUUACUUGAACAAGAUAUCUGCGAAGUGUGAGUGAUACCAAUUUUGUAACUUUAUAUGAAGCUUGAUGGUAGUUACUUGGGAAGUAUGAAGCUUGAGGUUGCGAUGGAUAAUACUAGAAGCGGUUCUGAUAUCUUUCCUAACUUUAAAAAGUGUGAACGUUGUGUCCUUGUUCAAAGGAAGCGCUUCCAUGACCAUUUCGUUGCAACUAAUGGAGGUCUUAGGAUGCCCAAGUACGUUAAUUUGUUCUUGAUUAUUGAAUCCUAGUUAAGAAGGAAACUUGUCAUUUAUUUGUUGUUUUCUUUUUGCCCUGAUAUUGCAGUUUAGCUGUUUGGAAAAAAUAUAAAGCUAAAAAAGUUGAAGAAGAAAAACGGAGCUAAGAAUGGUCGUUUUGACUGUUGUUUAUCUACAAGCUACUACUUGUUUAUCUUUUUAUGUUCUAUAAGAAAACUUGUAUUAUGUGGACUCUUGCUGCUAUAAUUUAUGCUUAAAUCAAAUGUUGAACUUAUAUUAUGAAAUUACAUUUUCAAGUUGAAAAUUCAAUUACUUAUAAUCGACUUAAUGAGAAGUUUGACCUAAUUUGGCUAAUUGGGCGGUUAUAAUUGAUCUAUAGUUGUUUGGUAGGUAAGGACGGAAACUAUUAUGUCUUCAUUCCUAUCUGCAGGAAUCAAUAUUUCUGUAUCUUCCCAAGCAUUGUUGUCUAGUUGAGAUUCUCCUCCAUUGAUUUCUUUUUGCCAAGAAUUGUUCUCGAGUCCUCAUGUGAGAUGAGUCAAAUGUUAGUUUGAGACGUAGAAACAGUUGGGUUUCAGUCGCCUUAUGCGGUUUCACGUAAGCCACCUAGCUCAAGUCGCUAGCUUCUCCGGUAUUUUAAUUACUGUAAAUUUAUUCAUGUAAAAUCUAAGAAUACUGUGAAAAACAAGUUUGCUAGUUCAAAAAUGUAAAAAGUUACAUGUGUUUAAUAAAGUUGUGCAAAGGCCUGCGUUUGUGUUACAGAGAGAGUCCUCAGGUGAGGUGAGUCAAAUGUAACCAUGUUUUCUCGAAAGCCUUGAUGAUAACAUCAUGAUACUCGCUCGAAUUCAGUGAAAGGUAACAUGCGAGAAGAUCUUCCAGGUCUUUUUGUUCCCUCAUCUUGUUUUCCAUGAUCAUCUCAACCAUGGAUUCUCUGAAAUCUUUCUCAGGAUCCACUGAAGACAGAACUAUGGCGAAACUCUUUACAGUCCCCUUCUUCUUCGAUACCGGCGUAUUUCCCUUUGUCUUCUUUCUCGCGAUCUUGGGAGAGUUUGACCGAAUCUUUAUCCCUGUCGAACGAGCAUUCGGUUUCUUCAGAUCCUGCUGUGUAAUCAUCUUAAAGGGUGGUUCCUUUGCAGUCUCAACCUGAAGAGGACUCAAGUUUGGUGAGAAUGAAGGAUCUUCAGAUACAUCAUCAAGCUUCUUCACAGAGCGGUCGUCCUUAAUGUCAAUUGAAUGCAGUUCAGGAUCAUGGUAAAAUUUUUGGUCAGAAGGAGAUGAUACACGAUCUAAGGAGCUUCCAACGACGGAAUCAGAGAUUGAAUUUGCAGAGGAUGAUGAUUUAGAACGAUGAUUUAGAGAAGAAGAUGUAGAGAGCUUGAGCCUUGAGGAAGGCUUGUAAAUGGUUUUACGUUUGAUUUUUCUCUUGAAAGAAGAAGAUUUUGGAGGUGAAUUAGAAACUUGAGGAUGAUUAGCAGUCGAAGAAAGACGUCGAUGAGGGUCACGGAGCUUUCUUGAGGAAGAAGCAUCAGCGGAAGAGAGGUGUUUAGGAGAAGAAGGAUGGUGUUUUCUGCUACUUCUACUCAUCCCUUUGAGCUUAUAGAUCCAUGAAUGAGGCAUAAUGUCUGAAAAUCUGAACUUGUGAGUCCCCAUUUUCUGAUUCAUCUCUUUCAUUUCUCAAAGUUUUUUUUGAGUUCUGUCAAAAAAAGAAAGAAAGAAAUGAAGUUAAAGAUAAACUAAAGGGAUUAAAUCUGAAUCUAGAGGGUCCAUCCACUCUCUUCUUUUCUUAUGCUUUGUCUCUUUUACAACAGAUAAAGAGGUUAAUCAAAGAAAAAGGGUUUAAUUGAUUUGGUUCUUUGAAGCAUUCAAAAGCAAUGAGUGGCUUCCAUGUCAAGACUAGCAUUUCUUUUGUAAUGGGUAAUGACAAUCAUUAUUAUGUCCCCCAAAUCUCACCUCUCUUCAUUUCACAAUCAAGAAAUUUUUUAAGAAACAAACAAACAGAGAUUUAUGAACUUUAUAUAGUUCACUUAACCCAGUUAAUUGUGGUCGGAUCGGGUAAUCAUGGAUCCCACAAUUAUGACGUGGAUUCCACACUCUCUUUGGUGAAAAGUUUCAUUGACUUAAGUGAUUUUUUAAAUCUGAAGUAUUUGUAAUUUUUAAUGUUUUAUAGGAACCAUCUCCAUUUUCUAAUUGAUCUUCGAGUAGUUUGGAACCUGAGUUUGAAGGUUUUGUUGAGACAUUGAAACUUUGUCCGAGAAAUUUGGCUUAGAAAUUACCAAAGAUCAUAUGUAAGUAGUAAGCAGCAUAUUCACUACAUAUAUAUCUUCUUUCUUUUUUAAUGGUCUAACAACUAUCCUUUUUUUGCAACAAAAAAUUAAUAAUUUUGAAUUCUUUGCCAAAGCUAAGGUGAAACUCAAAAGAGAAAUGCAAGACAAUGAUUUUGUUCCACUCUCUCACAGACAAACAAUAGAUGAUUUAAGUUGUCAUUUCAUUACUUAAUAUUUCUUUUUCUUUCAAACAACAUAUUGAUUUUUUUUUUUUUAGUACUUAGGCUAUGAAAAUGAAAGGGGAGUAUUUCUGUGGAGGUCAUGUUUAUGAGUUUAUCUUACAAGGUAAACAUUUUCUACUUUCUAUUCUUUUAAAUUUGCAUUUGUAAUUUUAAAAUUGUAGCGUUUAUCUGAAUUUAUGGAUCAUCUACGCUAUAGUGGUAAGUUAUCUAAAAUAUUGAAUUUAAAUGAAAAAUAUCCUAAAGUUGUAAACUAUUUAUCAACACUAAUACAUGUUCUCACAUACAGCUAGAAAUAUCAAAGAGAUUAUUUUUUGAACAUAGGUUGUUUAUUUGUUUAUUUUUCUCUCUAUACCAAUAUUUUUUAGAAAUGCAAAACAUUUUGAUGGAUAAUGAUAAAUUUGAGAGAAUUUGUUUUCUUUUUUUUCAACAUUAAAUAUCAAACAGAAUAUAAAAUCUCAAUUCAUUCCAAAGAAAUUUGAGAGAUUAAAAAAAAAAUUGUACAAAAAAUCUCCCGAGUUAUAGAAUGAUUAUGGAAGGUGUUAAUUCUUGCUUUCUAAUAUCAUGAAUACGAUUGGACAAAAUGAAAAAUAUUAUGUCUUUCAUGCUAAAACAUCUGAAAUAUAUGAAGAUUCAUCAUAGUUUCAAGACAGCUAGUGGAGAAAAUUUUGAAGAUUUUUUUAGAGGAUUUACUCUCUUUCGGAAACUAGGUUCAUAUACGGAAAGAUCUUAAAAAGCCAAUGUUAAUAAAAGCCCAUCUUAAAAACUAUAAAACCUUGGUCGAAAACAGAAAAUCUAGCGGCCGCUGUUCUUUGAGGUCCAUGGAGAACGAUGAUCAAGCAAAGAAGAAACAAAUACUCUCACAUCUGGAACGUAAGUUGGCUGCUAUAAUCAAUAUAAUAAAGACUACAAAAAAAAGUCUUCAUUAAUAGCACAUGACAAUAGCACGGUUUGUUGAAUUGCUAUUAAAGAUAGAUUUGCUAUUUUCGUAACUUUACGAUAGCAUUUUAUUAACGCUAAACCAAAAUUUUCACUAAGCGGGAUUUUUAGAGCCUAAUUUUUAUCAAGAACGCAAAUACUUACGAAAAAAAAAAAGAACAGAUCUCUCGAAAGAAAAAAUAUCUCUCUCGCUCUCUCUCAUAUCUAAAUCCUUCGUCGAUCUCUAAUGGCAGCACCAUCACAAGCGCAUCUUUACCUCGCAAAUCUCUCUCUAUUCUCUCCUCUCUCAGAUCUGAAUCCUUAGUUUCCAAUCUCUAAUGGCAGCACCACCAACAAGCUCAUUUUUACCUCGCAAAAAUCUCUCUAUAUCUUCUUUCUCAAAUCUAAAUCCUUAGUUUCCGAUCUCUAAUGGCAGCACCACCAACAAGCUCAUUUUUCUUUUCGACAGCAAUCUUCUUCGAGUAGUUUGGAACCUGAGUUUGAAAAGUUUUACUCGGUGACAAUCGUAAAGAACAUAUAUAGCCUUCUAAAUACUUUAAUAUAUCUACUAACCGCUUCUUUUAUUAAUGUUAUGUCUUCUUUAAAUAUUCUUUCAUUAAUAUUUAAUAGUAAACAAAUAUCUCAACCAUUACACAAUUUUUUUUUUUUUUUUUUAACGAACUUACCAUUUAAUAGAAGGCCCAAAAGCUUGGAAACCUAGAAAUACACAGUGUCUCCUAUAAGAGUAACACCUACAAACACACAUACAAACAAACACAUAGAAAUUAGAAAGUUGCGAAAUACAUUUUUAAAGAAAUUAUAAANNNNNNNNNNNNNNNNNNNNNNNNNNNNNNNNNNNNNNNNNNNNNNNNNNNNNNNNNNNNNNNNNNNNNNNNNNNNNNNNNNNNNNNNNNNNNNNNNNNNUAAUAUCAGGUACACUGCCAUUUCCUUUCUCACUCAGCUUCUCAAAGAACAGUGGGCAUUACUUGGGAGUUUCUCUCUUGAAUCAGUUUCUCAAAGAAGGUUUCUUUUAGGCAAGGCUGUGAACGUAGAGGGUGAUGUUGUUGAAAACAGAGGGGGCUGGGGGGGACGAGUCGCGUGGUGAAAGGGAGGACGUUAAUGGGAUUGAUAGAGAGAACGCUACUGAUGGUGAUGGAAUGGAAUGUCUGGAGAAUGAUGGGAUUGAUAAUGUGAAUGCAGCAGAGGAGGAGCACACAAUGAGUGCACAAGAACAGGAACAUGAGCAAAGUCUUGAUAAGGGAGACAAAAUGGUUGCUCGAGAGCUGGAGGAUUAUUUGUUAGAGAUUCAAAGACACAUCGACCCUUCCAUUAGGCGAGGGGAAGAACCUAACACUGCAAUUAAUCACUCAGUAGAUGUCACUCCUCAGCCUACUCGGGUGAAUAGGACUGGAACACGCGGUCAAGACCAUAAUGAAGCAAC